rnacentral:rRNA from 1 species
CUACGGGUCGCAGCAGUGGGGAAUAUUGCGCAAUGGGGGAAACCCUGACGCAGCAACGCCGCGUGAAGGAUGAAGGUUUUCGGAUUGUAAACUUCUUUGACCGGGGAAGAUAAUGACGGUACCCGGAAAACAAGCCACGGCUAACUACGUGCCAGCAGCCGCGGUAAUACGUAGGUGGCAAGCGUUGUCCGGAAUUACUGGGUGUAAAGAGCGUGUAGGCGGAUCUUUAAGUCAGAUGUGAAAUCCUAGGGCUUAACCUUAGGGCUGCAUCUGAAACUGGAGAUCUUGAGUGUCGUAGAGGUAAGUGGAAUUCCUAGUGUAGCGGUGAAAUGCGUAGAUAUUAGGAGGAACACCAGUGGCGAAGGCGACUUACUGGGCGACAACUGACGCUGAGACGCGAAAGCGUGGGGAGCAAACAGGAUUAGAUACCCCAGUAGUC